rnacentral:rRNA from 1 species
AGUGAACGCUGGCGGUAGGCCUAACACAUGCAAGUCGAACGGCAGCACAGUAAGAGCUUGCUCUUACGGGUGGCGAGUGGCGGACGGGUGAGGAAUACAUCGGAAUCUACUUUUUCAUGGGGGAUAACGUAGGGAAACUUACGCUAAUACCGCAUACGACCUACGGGUGAAAGCAGGGGAUCUUCGGACCUUGCGCGAUUGAAUGAGCCGAUGUCGGAUUAGCUAGUUGGCGGGGUAAAGGCCCACCAAGGCGACGAUCCGUAGCUGGUCUGAGAGGAUGAUCAGCCACACUGGAACUGAGACACGGUCCAGACUCCUACGGGAGGCAGCAGUGGGGAAUAUUGGACAAUGGGCGCAAGCCUGGUCCAGCCAUACCGCGUGGGUGAAGAAGGCCUUCGGGUUGUAAAGCCCUUUUGUUGGGAAAGAAAAGCAGCAGGUUAAUACCCCGCUGUUCUGACGGUACCCAAAGAAUAAGCACCGGCUAACUUCGUG